rnacentral:rRNA from 1 species
UACGGAAGGCAGCAGUGGGGAAUAUUGCACAAUGGGCGCAAGCCUGAUGCAGCCAUGCCGCGUGUAUGAAGAAGGCCUUCGGGUUGUAAAGUACUUUCAGUCGUGGGAAGGUGUUAAGGUUAAUAACCUUAGCAAUUGACGUUAGCGACAGAAGAAGCACCGGCUAACUCCGUGCCAGCAGCCGCGGUAAUACGGAGGGUGCGAGCGUUAAUCGGAAUUACUGGGCGUAAAGGGCACGCAGGCGGUUAAUUAAGUUGGAUGUGAAAUCCCGGGCUUAACCUGGGAAUGGCAUUCAAGACUGGUUAGCUAGAGUCUUGUAGAGGGGGUAGAAUUCCAUGUGUAGCGGUGAAAUGCGUAGAGAUGUGGAGGAAUACCGGUGGCGAAGGCGGCCCCUGGACAAAGACUGACGCUCAUGUGCGAAAGCGUGGGGAGCAAACAGGGAUUAGAUACC